GCCUCCCAAAGUGCUGAGAUUACAGGCGUGAGCCACCGCGCCCGGCCCAGGACAGCUUCUGAAAACGAUUGUUUUACCUUACUACUGCCUUACCUCUUCCACCCUGACCUCCCACCUUAUCCUAAACUGGAGGUUGCUGUUGAUGUUGUCUUGUUUCUGAUCAAAUUUCCUAAAUAAUUUUGGAUGCUCUAUUUGCUCCAAAUUCAACAAAAUAUUAAUAUGAUAACUUCCUACUCCAGGCCACAGGACAAAGUUCCCCCAAGCAAGCUUCCACACACAUACCCAGAUAUGCACCAGAUCCAAGGCCUUCUUGUAACACUAGUGAAAUUCUUGAUUUCUUUUUUGGAUGUAUGCAUAAUUAAUGUUGGUUCCCUGGCAAUCCCAUCUUUCUAGUUGGUUCUUCCAUUAUUCCUGGCACACUUAUAGUAAUAUUUGCUGAUCAGAGAUGCAUAUUGACUCCUAGGUGGGGAUGAUCUUUUUACCUGUCAUUGGGUACACCUUUUAUUUUGGAGGCACCCUCAGUUUUUUCUUCCCCUUUCUUAUUUGAGAGUUUCAGUCUUCUCUUUGGGAAUCAGGCCCUAAUUCUCUUUCAUUAUUUACAGGAAGAGAUUAAAAGGCUUCAUUCAAAAAGAACCUAGGAAACUUGCCUUAGUGUCUCAAUGACAGGUGGAAUUGAUCGGCAAGCUGUAUCUGGUUGCUCAAAACAGUGCAGCAUCCACAGUGUGACAGAUCAUGGAUGAGAUGUUAGUGUUGUAGAAACAAAAAACACUUUAGUGAAUUCACUUAUUAACAUGUCAUUCAAUUUUAUGUCUGAGUCAACAGCAUGGUAUUAAGGUUUUGACACAGUGGUGUCUCAACUGUAUUGUUUAUUCCUUGUAAUAAAAUUAUUAUUUUGUUUUUAUGCAUGGUGCCACUACAGCAUUUUCCACCCAGUGGGUGCUCUAUAAAUAUUGACUGAUUGGAAUUUGGAACUGUAAGUGUUAUAAUUUAGAGGUUAUUGGCUCCUUAUAAUUGCGUUUGGGAACUACAAAUUCAGCUAAAAUUGGAGCUCUACUCUGAAACACUUCCAUUGAGCUUCUGGUCUAAGUUACCCAGAAAACCCUUAAGGUAAAAAUUCUCCUCUUUUUACAGCCUCAAAUCUAUUAUUUAAAGCCAAUAAACAGUGGUUUAUAAUGGAGAAGUUUUAAAUUUCAGGCAUGUUUUUAGAGACUAAACCUAAUAAAAUUAUUAAGUGGAAGCAAAGCAAUAUUAUUUGUUUUGGUCGUAGACUUUGAAUAUCCAAGAGAAUCAUGGAUAUCAUGUCUCAGUAAUGGUUUUGAGGUUUGACUCCUGCUUCCUUAAAUGUAGGAAAUGGCACUGAGAGUGGUACAUGGCUUUAUUUUUAGGUUAAGAGCCUACCUUUUAAAGGAAGCAGUUACCUGUAUAUGUAACAUCCUAAAGCAGAUUUCAGAUACUUGAGGAGAGUCUGUUUUUAAGAAUCAUGAUGAAUUAUUGCUUGCCUUAAUGAAAUGGCUGUUAUUGUAAAACACUGAUAAUAUCUGUAAACAGUGUCAUUAAAAGGUGAAAUAAACCUUAGAUAAUAAGUACAAUAAACCCGACAAAAUAUCUAUCUCUGACAGAAUAAGAAUAUAUAUAAGAAAAUAUAUAACUUCAUUGAGAUCUAAUCUUUCAGUUCUUUUUUAGCUCCGUUAACAAUUAUUUAGCAUAUGCCAAGCCUUGAGCUUUCACACAGGUUUACAAAUAUGAAUAAAACCUCAUCCCUACAUAGAAGAAUCUUAGGAGAGACAUGGUUUCAAAAUGGGGUUCCUACACCAUGGAUUUACAAGAAAAGCCUCUGAUUACAGGAUGAAAAUACCAAAAUGCUUAUUUCUGUUUAUUUUUAUAAAAUAAAGAAAUAGGUGAAAUGUAAAAUGCAAAGAUGUCCAAUGCAAAGAAAUUAAGACAAACUAAUCACCCAUAGGGAUCGUGGCAUCUUGACUCUCUCACAUUUACUAUGAUGAGUUUGGAGUGGUGGAAAACAUAAAACCAAAUACCUAUACCUCUGCGUAAUGUUUAAAAUCAUAAGAAAUACAAUUAAAUUCUUACAAAAUUUUAUUAAACAUAAUAAUCAAUGUUUAAAAGGUUUAUUUGAGGUGUGUUACUUAAUGAUGAAAAAAAUACUUUUAGAAACAUGCUUAUUCUUCCUACCACAAUAACAAUGGCCAAAGUAAUACAUAGAAAAUGAUAUAACAUACAAUUAUAUACUUAAAUGCAUUCCUUUGUCAUAAAAUCAUUGGAAGAUGCACAAUAUUGAUACAGUUGUAAAUAUUAGACAGAAGCUACAACUUGGGAAUUUUGCAAUACCUUGGAAGAAGGAAGAAAUGUUUCUAACAUGUCCCAGCUGCUGGUAUUUUCUCUAUUCUGUUUCAACAAUAACAUACACAAAGAACUACUUGUUUUUUCUAACCACCAAAGGAGAUAAUAUAUUCGCAGCAGAACAUUUUUUUAAUAAAAAUAAUGUUUGUGGAAAUAACUGUGAAGUGUAGUUACUGAUGAAGCGGUUGCUCUUUACUGGAAUUUUUCAGAUGGAUUUCAGGGAAAUGUUGAGGAGAGAAUAUAAUUUCCUGAAUCCUUCAUAGGCAAGCAAUUUAGGC